CAGUGAGCAAUUGAACUCGCUUCCUAUCUCAUUUGCUUCAUCUCUUACAUUUGUGAUUAGUUUGUUUGUUUUAUUCGUUCUCUCUUUAAUGCUAAGGGAAGGACCCUGUUUUAUUACUCAUCUCUGACAUUUAUUUUCCUUUUUUCGUUUUGUAUAAUAUUGGUGUAUACUUUUUCUUGACCGAGGCUUGCAAGUUGAUGCUGUAACAGCAAAAGGGGCUUGA
rnacentral:lncRNA from 1 species